GAUGAACGCUGGCGGCGUGCCUAAUACAUGCAAGUCGAGCGAACAGACGAGGAGCUUGCUCCUCUGACGUUAGCGGCGGACGGGUGAGUAACACGUGGAUAACCUACCUAUAAGACUGGGAUAACUUCGGGAAACCGGAGCUAAUACCGGAUAAUAUAUUGAACCGCAUGGUUCAAUAGUGAAAGACGGUUUUGCUGUCACUUAUAGAUGGAUCCGCGCCGCAUUAGCUAGUUGGUAAGGUAACGGCUUACCAAGGCAACGAUGCGUAGCCGACCGGAGAGGAGGAUAGGCAACACGGGAACGUAGACAGGGGCCAGAGGACGAAGGGAGGCAGCAGACGGGAAUAGUGGACAAUGGGCGGAAGACGGACACAGCUAUAGGGAGUGAGUGAAGAAGGUGUUGGGGGUGUAAAGCCCUUUUGUGGGUAAAGAACAGAAGUAGGCUAAGAUCCAGCGGUCAGGACGGUACCCAAAGAAGAAGCACCGGCUAACUUCGUG
rnacentral:rRNA from 1 species